rnacentral:rRNA from 1 species
CCURACUCCUACSGGAGGCAGCAGUGGGGAAUAUUGCACAAUGGGCGCAAGCCUGAUGCAGCAACGCCGCGUGAGGGACGACGGCCUUCGGGUUGUAAACCUCUUUUAGCAGGGAAGAAGCGAAAGUGACGGUACCUGCAGAAAAAGCGCCGGCUAACUACGUGCCAGCAGCCGCGGUAAUACGUAGGGCGCAAGCGUUAUCCGGAAUUAUUGGGCGUAAAGAGCUCGUAGGCGGUUUGUCGCGUCUGCUGUGAAAUCCGGAGGCUCAACCUCCGGCCUGCAGUGGGUACGGGCAGACUAGAGUGCGGUAGGGGAGAUUGGAAUUCCUGGUGUAGCGGUGGAAUGCGCAGAUAUCAGGAGGAACACCNAUGGCGAAGGCAGAUCUCUGGGCCGUAACUGACGCUGAGGAGCGAAAGGGUGGGGAGCAAACAGGCUUAGAUACCCUGGUAGUCCACCCCGUAAACGUUGGGAACUAGUUGUGGGGUCCAUUCCACGGAUUCCGUGACGCA